ACGACUAACAAUGGCGGCGCCCAGUGGACGCUAUAAGGUUACCAUUUAUUUUACUUUUGUUGAUCAAGUUAAUAUAACAACGGCAUUUGAACACUAUUUAUAUGUAGAAUAUAAUGGUACACUCGAGUUUCGGUGAUCACUUGUCUGGAAAGAAAAAUUUUGACUUGAGUGAGUGUACGUAAUUCGGACGUUGUGUAUUUUCGGAUGAUUGUCAAGUGGAAAUGAAUGUCUUAUAUGACUUCACCUUCUCUUAUUAUAACUGAUGGUUAAAAUGGGAAAUUCAAAUGAAUAGUUGAACAAGUAAAUAGGACUAUUACACUGUAUUUAUUGCAUGAUUUGAUUGUUUGCUUAAAAAUAAAUGGGGUCUUUAUGUUUUAGAUUUUCCAAGUUUCUAGUUCUGAUGUCGGAAGACGUUUGCUGCUCACCGACAAACAUCAGGCCUAAAAUGGCUAUGCCCAACGGCCAUUAAAGUUGCCAUUUAUUUUAUUUUUGUUGAUUCCAUUAAUGAAACAACGGUAUUUGAACACUUGAUCUGUAGAAAAUAAUUACACAAUUGAUAUCAGUUAUUUCUUGACUAGACAGAAACUUGAGGCAUAAAGGUACAAUUCCUAUUAUUUAGGACAAGUAACAAUUCCCCAAUCUUAAUAUAUCAGCCUUGGAAUAAUUCUAACUUUUUGGUAAUUGUGAAGGAGGACCAUAGGGGUAUGGCAUUAUGAUUACAACACACCCUGCCCCUGUGAUCAGUUUUUACUACUAUUAUUUCAUUGACCUGGUUUGGGUUUAUGUCUUGUCUGAAGCAAUGUCACUGCAAAACAUUUAUUUGUUAAGUGUAUUGGUUGCAAUGGCCGAGAGGUCAGCUUAUCAGACGCCGAUUCAGAGGGUCCGGAAUUUGAUCUCUACCUGAAGUUUUGAUGAAAAUAGUUCUGGUUAUAAUCAAUAAAUGGUUCUUUAUUACAUACUUAAAUCAGAUUUUAAAACUACACAUCAGUUCAUUGCUAAAAACCUAGUAUACCUAGUAUACAGUUUUGGCCAUUUAAGCUAUCUAAACAAUCUGAUUUGAGCAAUUGCAAUCAUAAGGAUUGAAUGAAAUAUAAAAAAAAAAAUGUAAUGCAUAGGAAUAAAAUACUUGUUUAUUUUGUGCAUCAUUAAAAUCUUAACACAUGUCUUUUAUAAUUAUCAGACCAAGAGAUCACCCUAGGGACCAAAUCGCUGGAAUUGGAUAGUUGGGAUAGCUCGUCUGGCCAAAUCCAGAUAUGAGUUUACUCUUGUCAAGUUCUGAGAGCUCAGUCAGUUAGGUUAGACAACCUUCACAUCCCAUCCAGAAGAACCAAGGGGCAACUGAUGCGGCCGAGCUUGCACAAAGACACAGAUUUAAUCUAUUUAUCUUACAAUGUAAAAAUUGUUGUCAAUUACAAGCCUUAAUCCUU